GACUGUCAAGUACCUGUUCCCAUACCACCAGUUCUAAUUUAGUCACAUUUACAAUGUCAUAAUCAGAAGGAAUAUUUAACACUGCCCACAGAGCCCGUCAGCAUUCUAAUCCUCCCCUUCCACCAUCCAUUCCUCCACACAGGUUCUCUUGGGUGGUUAUCAAGAGAUUGUCAGUAACUUCAUCUCUUUUGUGGAAUGCUCCUGUUCCACAGAUUUGUGUUCUGUGGAUUUCCUAACGACCCAAUUUCUGCCAGUGUUGGUUUCUAGAGGAGAAUAGGUGGAGACUUAUUGACAGGCACGUCUGGAAAAGCUUCUGUUGCUGCUGCUUACUACGACUGAUUUUGAAAGAAGGAACUUCAAUCUUAAGGG
rnacentral:lncRNA from 1 species